rnacentral:rRNA from 1 species
CGCGUCGGAUGUGAAGCCCGGGGCUUAACCCGGGGUCUGCAUUCGAUACGGGCAGACUAGAGUGUGGUAGGGGAGAUCGGAAUUCCUGGUGUAGCGGUGAAAUGCGCAGAUAUCAGGAGGAACACCGGUGGCGAAGGCGGAUCUCUGGGCCAUUACUGACGCUGAGGAGCGAAAGCGUGGGGAGCGAACAGGAUUAGAUACCCUGGUAGUCCACGCCGUAAACGGUGGGAACUAGGUGUUGGCGACAUUCCACGUCGUCGGUGCCACAGCUAACGCAUUAAGUUCCCCGCCUGGGGAGUACGGG